rnacentral:sRNA from 1 species
AUCAUAGUCAGUAGUACUGCUGACAGGAUAACAACAACAUAACUAUCACCAAGAGUUACCAAUCAUGUGAGUCCUUAACCUAAGGCGUGGUCAGCAGAAGGGUGCAUGCCACCCUCACCAAAAUUUGUGUUGUAGGGUAGGGAAUUUUGGCAAGUGCACACGCCUAUUCUGAAUUGUAGUCACACCACAUGCUCUAUGGUAUAAUAAAGUGGUAGAGGAUGCCUUAAUUUCAAUUAUAUUCCCAACCUUUCUCCCCCCCCCCCCCAUAAAAAAU